GAUGAAGAACGUAGCGAAAUGCGAUGAGUAGUGUGAAUUGCAGAAUUCAGUGAAUCAUCGAAUCUUUGAACGCACAUUGCGCCCCUUGGUAUUCCAUGGGGCAUGCCUGUUCGAGCGUCAUUUGUACCUUCAAGCUCUGCUUGGUGUUGGGUGUUUGUCUCGCCUCUGCGUGUAGACUCGCCUUAAAACAAUUGGCAGCCGGCGUAUUGAUUUCGGAGCGCAGUACAUCUCGCGCUUUGCACUCAUAACGACGACGUCCAAAAGUACAUUUUUACACUCUUGACCUCGGAUCAGGUAGGGAUACCCGCUGAACUUAAGCAUAUCAAUAAGCGGAGGA
rnacentral:misc_RNA from 1 species